rnacentral:rRNA from 1 species
UUGGAAACUGAUUUAUUUGAGUGCGAUAGAGGCAAGUGGAACUCCAUGUGUAGCGGUGAAAUGCGUAGAUAUGUGGAAGAACACCAGUGGCGAAAGCGGCUUGCUAGAUCGUAACUGACGUUGAGGCUCGAAAGUAUGGGUAGCAAACGGGAUUAGAUACCCCGGUAGUCCAUACCGUAAACGAUGGGUGCUAGUUGUUAAGAGGUUUCCGCCUCCUAGUGACGUAGCAAACGCAUUAAGCACCCCGCCUGAGGAGUACGGCCGCAAGGCUAAAACUUAAAGGAAUUGACGGGGACCCGCACAAGCGG